rnacentral:rRNA from 1 species
AUAAUGGGUCAGCGACUUAUAUUCUGUAGCAAGGUUAACCGAAUAGGGGAGCCGAAGGGAAACCGAGUCUUAACUGGGCGUUAAGUUGCAGGGUAUAGACCCGAAACCCGGUGAUCUAGCCAUGGGCAGGUUGAAGGUUGGGUAACACUAACUGGAGGACCGAACCGACUAAUGUUGAAAAAUUAGCGGAUGACUUGUGGCUGGGGGUGAAAGGCCAAUCAAACCGGGAGAUAGCUGGUUCUCCCCGAAAGCUAUUUAGGUAGCGCCUCGUGAAUUCAUCUCCGGGGGUAGAGCACUGUUUCGGCAAGGGGGUCAUCCCGACUUACCAACCCGAUGCAAACUGCGAAUACCGGAGAAUGUUAUCACGGGAGACACACGGCGGGUGCUAACGUCCGUC